rnacentral:rRNA from 1 species
UUGCUCUUCAACGAGGAAUUCCUAGUAAGCGCAAGUCAUCAGCUUGCGUUGAUUACGUCCCUGCCCUUUGUACACACCGCCCGUCGCUACUACCGAUUGAAUGGCUUAGUGAGAUUUCCGGAUUGGCUUUGGGGAGCUGGCAACGGCACCUCGUCGCCGAGAAGUUACUCAAACUUGGUCAUUUAGAGGAAGUAAAAGUCGUAACAAGGUUUCCGUAGGUGAACCUGCGGAAGGAUCACUAGAGAACACACGCUUCUUCGGAAGCUCUCUACCCUUUCACACACACCCUGUGCACCGUUGCCCGUGUCCCUGGCCCAUGCUUCGUUUGGUGCUGGGAUGCGCGGCUUUUCCAUACCUUUUUUUUGAAACGCAAGUGAAUGCAUGUAUAACCAUAUUCUAAAUCAAUAUAACUUUCAACAACGGAUCUCUAGGUUCUCGCAUCGAUGAAGAACGCAGCGAAUUGCGAUAAGUAAUGUGAAUUGCAGAAUUCAGUGAAUCAUCGAAUCUUUGAACGCAUCUUGCGCUCUCUGGUAUUCCGGAGAGCAUGCCUGUUUGAGUGUCAUGAAACUCUCACCCCUGCCCUUUCUUCACGGACUGGGUCCUGGGCGUGGACGUGAGCGUGUGCGGGUGCCCUGGCUGCAUCGGCUCGCUUGAAAAGCAUUAGCUGAAUCCUCGCGGGCGUGGUUCGACUCAACGUGAUAAGGAAUUCUCGUUGGGGACAGUGCCGUGUGUGUGAACCACAGACGGGCUGGCCACGGACGCGGGUGGAAUCGCUUCCAACCAGCACAGACUUCGGGAGCUGGCAACACUCUAUUUUGACCCUCUGGCCUCAAAUCAGGUAGGACUACCCGCUGAACUUAAGCAUAUCAAUAAGCGGAGGA